rnacentral:rRNA from 1 species
UACGAAGGGGGCUAGCGUUGCUCGGAAUCACUGGGCGUAAAGCGCACGUAGGCGGUUUCUUAAGUCAGGGGUGAAAUCCCGGAGCUCAACUCCGGAACUGCCUUUGAUACUGGGAGACUUGAGUUCGGGAGAGGUGAGUGGAACUGCGAGUGUAGAGGUGAAAUUCGUAGAUAUUCGCAAGAACACCAGUGGCGAAGGCGGCUCACUGGCCCGAUACUGACGCUGAGGUGCGAAAGCCAGGGGAGCAAACGGG